rnacentral:lncRNA from 1 species
GCCGUAUUAACCGUUCUCCGCGAAGAGGAUUAACUGGUCACGGUUUCUUCUUGGGUGUUUCCGUAUUAUCAGCUUUAGUAAGGACUUAUUAUUUUUGGUUUACUAAACCUGCAAAUGUUUAUCUGAGUUUUCCCUUUCAUCUGUGCUCCUGUUUGGCAUAUUGGAUAUUAUUUUUUAUUCCUCCAGUGUAGCGUUUACUUACAGACCCUUCAAAUUUUUGUUGUGCUAUUUUUACAGUGGAAGAAUGUAAUUUCUUUGUCAAAGAAGAAUGUGAGAGCUUCUCUCAUUGGCACUGAGAGAAACCACUGGUGUCAGAAUCUGAUCGGCAGUGGCAGAAGCUAUCCUACAAUUCUACAGGACACUUACUCCAUUGCUGUUCAACAUUUCAGUGUAUCUGUCCCUUCCAAUGACGUUGUGCUACAAGUGGCUUUUCAAAUGUGCCUCUCUUCACUGAAAGUCAUCUUAGUGGAACAUGAAAUUCAGGUGCCUUCCCUCAUAUUCAAAAGCUGCCUUCAGAUCACUGGAAAUUCCUUCUACAUUACCCAACACUGGUAAGACCAAAGACUUUGAGGUUUGGUCAUAAUGGAAGCAAGGUUGAAAGAGUGAGUUGGACUUCAUACGCUCCCCAGGAAGAUUGUCAAGUAAGCCUUGCUACCAAGACUAAUUCAACUAGGACAGUUCAGACGCUGUUCAUCUUCAGCCUUCUCUCUAAUCUUGUGAACACACUCACGUCCUUCAAAUGGAAUCAUUCUUUGUAAAGUCAACCUAGAGUCAUUUUGUUGUUGCUUGCAAACCAAAUAACUGCUGUGGAUGCCUGAUUGGCUCAGUCGGUUGAGCAUCUGACUCUUGAUGUCAGCUAAGUUCAUGAUCCCAGGGUCAGUGGGAUCAAGCCCCAUGUAGAACCCUGCAUUGGGCUCUGUGCUGAGUGUGGAGCUGGCUUGGGACUCUCUCUCUCUCCCUCUGCCCUUCUCCUCUGCUCAUGUGCUCUUUCUCUCUCUCUCUCUUUCUCUCAAAAAAACUAAAAUAUAAAUCAAAAUAACUGCUGUAAUACAUUCACCAUUAUUGUUAUUGUCUCUUUUGUGUCUAAUAUAUAGCUCCAGAAAAAAAAAAGCUACAUAAUGGCUUUUAUUAUUAAUUAGUUUUUUUGUGUUAUUAUUUAACAUUAAUUAAGUACUAAAAAAACCCACCAAAAAAUUCUCUAAUAUUAUGCCAUGUAUCCUGGUAUCUGGAAAGCCUGACUCAGAAAAAUGCUAACUGCUCAGAAUGAUGGAAUAUCUAGGAGCAAAAGAAAAAAAAAAAAAAGAUGAGUGAUCAUGAAAAUAGUCU